rnacentral:rRNA from 1 species
AUUGAACGCUGGCGGCAUGCCUUACACAUGCAAGUCGAACGGUAACGCGGGGCAACCUGGCGACGAGUGGCGAACGGGUGAGUAAUGUAUCGGAACGUGCCCAGUUGUGGGGGAUAACUGCUCGAAAGAGCAGCUAAUACCGCAUACGACCUGAGGGUGAAAGCGGGGGAGCGCAAGACCUCGCGCAAUUGGAGCGGCCGAUAUCAGGUUAGCUAGUUGGUGGGGUAAAGGCUCACCAAGCCAACGAUCUGUAGCUGGUCUGAGAGGACGACCAGCCACACUGGGACUGAGACACGGCCCAGACUCCUACGGGAGGCAGCAGUGGGGAAUGUUGGACAAUGGACGCAAGUCUGAUCCAGCCAUGGCGCGUGCGGGAAGAAGGCCUUCGGGUUGUAAACCGCUUUUGUCAGGGAAGAAACGCUCUGGGUUAAUACCUCGGGGUAAUGACGGUACCUGAAGAAUAAGCACCGGCUAACUACGUGCCAGCAGCCGCCGUAAGAC